ACCAUUAUAGUGAUGAUGAGGUGCAAACAUACAAAUCCCAAUAUACCCAUCUCGACUAUCCGUCUGAUAAGGGUACACCAGGCACAUGCAUCACAACCAUAUGUGCGCGACAUGGUGAUCUCAUAUCAAGAUAAACAGCGCAUAACCUUGCAGGUGGAGCCCAGUUAGAAUUUUCGUCUGGUCGAGCAGCCCAUCCCGCUCUAAAGGUCCAUGAAUAUGGGUUGUUUAAGGAUAUUGAAAGAAACACCCAUGUUUCCAAAGGUGAAUCAUUCAAACCGCAAAGAAUUCCUCUCAACACAUGACCA